GCAUAGUGUAUAAGUCUAUGUUACGGCCAUAGAAUGGGUGUUGUUUCAUCAUAUGCUUU
rnacentral:tRNA from 1 species